AGGCGGGCGUCUAAGUCAGUGGUGAAAUCUCGCGGCUCAACCGUGAAAUUGCCAUUGAUACUGGUCGCCUUGAAUUAGUGUGAAGUGGCUAGAAUAUGUAGUGUAGCGGUGAAAUGCUUAGAUAUUACAUAGAAUACCGAUUGCGAAGGCAGGUCACUAACACUAUAUUGACGCUGAUGGACGAAAGCGUGGGGAGCGAACAGGAUUAGAUACCCUGGUAGUCCACGCCGUAAACGAUGGAUACUAGCUGUCCGGCCUGCAUUGGUAGGCUGGGUGGCCAAGCGAAAGUGAUAAGUAUCCCACCUGGGGAGUACGUUCGCAAGAAUGAAACUCAAAGGAAUUGACGGGGGCCCGCACAAGCGGUGGAGCAUGUGGUUUAAUUCGAUGAUACGCGAGGAACCUUACCAGGGCUUAAAUGUAGUCUGACAGGGGUGGAAACACCCCCUUCUUCGGACAGACUGCAAGGUGCUGCAUGGUUGUCGUCAGCUCGUGCCGUGAGGUGUCAGGUUAAGUCCUAUAACGAGCGCAACCCCUGUCGUUAGUUGCCAGCAUGUAAAGAUGGGAACUCUAACGAGACUGCCGGUGCAAACCGUGAGGAAGGUGGGGAUGACGUCAAAUCAUCACGGCCCUUACGUCCUGGGCCACACACGUGCUACAAUGGCAGGUACAAUGGGCAGCCACGCCGCAAGGCGGAGCGAAUCCACAAAACCUGUCUCAGUUCGGAUCGGGGUCUGCAACUCGACCCCGUGAAGCUGGAAUCGCUAGUAAUCGGAUAUCAGCCAUGAUCCGGUGAAUACGUUCCCGGGCCUUGUACACACCGCCCGUCAAGCCAUGGAAGCUGGAAGCACCUGAAGUCCGUCACCGCGAGGAGCGGCCUAGGG
rnacentral:rRNA from 1 species